rnacentral:rRNA from 1 species
UACGGAGGGAGCUAGCGUUGUUCGGAAUUACUGGGCGUAAAGCGCGCGUAGGCGGCUUUGUAAGUUAGAGGUGAAAGCCCGGAGCUCAACUCCGGAACUGCCUUUAAGACUGCAUCGCUUGAAUCCAGGAGAGGUGAGUGGAAUUCCGAGUGUAGAGGUGAAAUUCGUAGAUAUUCGGAAGAACACCAGUGGCGAAGGCGGCUCACUGGACUGGUAUUGACGCUGAGGCACGAAAGCGUGGGGAGCAAACAGG